rnacentral:rRNA from 1 species
ACUCAAAUGAAUAGACGGGGGCCCGCACAAGCGGUGGAGCAUGUGGUUUAAUUCGAUGCAACGCGAAGAACCUUACCUACCCUUGACAUGUCAAGAAGCCCGGUUAAGCGCUGGGCGUGCCGAAAGGAGCUUGAACACAGGUGCUGCAUGGCUGUCGUCAGCUCGUGUCGUGAGAUGUUGGGUUAAGUCCCGUAACGAGCGCAACCCUUGUCCUUCGUUGCCACCCGAAAGGGGGAACUCGAAGGAGACUGCCGGUGAUAAACCGGAGGAAGGUGGGGAUGACGUCAAGUCAUCAUGGCCUUUAUGGGUAGGGCUACACACGUGCUACAAUGGGGUGAACAGAGGGAAGCCAACCCGCGAGGGGGAGCUAAUCCUGAAAAACAUUUCGUAGUCCGGAUCGGAGUCUGCAACUCGACUCCGUGAAGUUGGAAUCGCUAGUAAUCGCGGAUCAGAAUGUCGCGGUGAAUACGUUCCCGGGCCUUGUACACACCGCCCGU